AGUGACCUGCAACAAAAGUGUAAUUCUCGUGGGGUUUCCCCCGUGUCUCCACAAACAUGUGUGUGUCUGUGUCCAUCGAGGCAGAAAUCACCUGUGACGGUAGAGCCGAGGAGGAGGCGGAGGGCAGGUCUGUGGUCCGAGUCGUCGCACGCGCCGUUGAGCGCGAGCGCGAGCGCGAGCGCGCGAGAUUAAGUCGCUCUUCUUAACCCGCGCGGAGGUGAGCGCGAGGACAGCGGCAGAGCGAGCUCAUCCUCCGGGAGUGAUGAGUCCGGUCCCUGGGAGCUAGCGGCAGACGCGUUUGAUGUUUCUCCUUGAAGUUGGGCUCCGGGCUGUUGUGCUGCGGGGAUAAAGGAGCGAGAGGGAGAGGUGUUAGCCGCCCUCCUCAUUCCCCCCUCCCCGUACCUCCGACCGGCGCGUCGCCUUCUCUUGUCUUUUCGUGAGCUGCAGAUUCGGACAUUCGCCGAGCCAUGUUGUGGAUAAGGUGGCUCGUUCUGCUGCUCUGCUGGGGGGCUGCCAGCGGCGAGGAGCGGGCGGCGGAGGAGGAGGACGAAGCCCGGACUGAGGUGCUGUCGGACUCCCCCAGAAGGCGCUCCCCUCCGCCGGUGGAGCCGCUGGACUUUGGGUUUGUCCCAUCGGCGAUAUAUGAUACCCAUGCUUACUACGAGCCAGGGAGCAUAAGCAUCCUUUUCCACAUGGUCCACGCGUUUCUUUAUGUCGUUCAACCCAAUCCUUUCCCCAAAGAUCUUAUUGUCAGAGUCAUUCAGCAAAACAUGGGAGGAAUUAAACUGGAAGAGUGGAGAAAGCCAGAAAACGUUGUGCUAUUGCUACAGUGGAUCCACUAUGAAGCUGGAUUCCUAAUAUGUACGAUCAUUGGCAUCGUGUUUGUGGUCCUGACUCCCGUCAUAGCCACGUGUUUCUGCAUGUGUCGAUGCUGCGAUAACUGUGGAGGCGAGAUGCAUCAGAGGCAGAGGAAAAAUGCAGACUGCCACCGAGGUUUCUUCACCGCCUCACUCAUCGCCACCACCAUCUUCAUCAUUCUGGGGGUGUUUGUCGCAUAUGCUGCCAAUCACAACAUCAGCUCUCAAAUCAGAAACACUCGGCGACUCAUCAACACCAACAUGAGAGAUUUGAAGACCUUUGCCAACAACACUCCUGCGCAAAUCGAAUACCUGACAGGCCAGUACACCACGGCAAAGAACAAAGUCAUGUCAGACCUUGACAACAUUGGACCUUUACUUGGGAGUAGGAUCCACGUUCAUCUGGAAAAAGAAGUGGUUCCUGCUCUGGACAGUGCUCUGCGCAUGGCGGGAGCAAAAAUUGAGAAUUCCAUCAAAGCCAUGCGGGAGACUAAAGAAGCCUUGGAGAACGUCAGCUCCUCAUUGGAAAUUCUUCAGGAAGGAAUAGGAAAACUUCAGGCGAGUCUAUCUGAGGAGCGCGCUUCUCUGUCCAACACUCUGUCUGACCCCGCAUGCACCAACGGAGCCGUGUCACCCACCUGUAACACCAUCCGUUCCACUCUGCCUCAGCUUGGAAUCAAUGCCGACUACUCCAAGCUUCCUAAUGUUGGUCACGCUUUAGCCAAUGUCAAUACUGUUUUGAGAAUAGACCUCAGCAACAUCGUUCAAAGGGGUUAUGCAUCUUUCAAUGACACUCCAAAGCUGGUCAAAGAACAAACCAGAAACAUCGUUACUGCUUUACCUCGAGUGAAAGGCAUGCUGGAUAAGAUUGGUGCAGAGAUCACUGCCUUCUCCAAGAUGUUCCCAGUGGAAGCCUCACUUUCCAAUUUCACUAACUUCCUCAAUGAAAGACACCGGAGCAUUGAGGCAUUUUACCCACAGAUUGACCAAAUGGAUUUUUACAGGUGGAUUGCUUGUGUAGCAGUGCUCUGCACUAUUGUUUUGAUCCUGGCCUUCAACAUCCUCGGCCUGCUCUGUGGCUCCUGCGGCUACGACAAGCAGGCCACCCCAACAACCCGCGGCUGCAUGUCAAACACUGGAGGGAAUCUGCUGAUGGCUGGAGUGGGCUUCUCCUUCAUCUUUUCCUGGGCACUGAUGGCUGUUGUUACAACCCUGUUUGCUGUUAGUGGAAACAUGGAGAAGCUCAUAUGUGAACCUCUGGCUAACAGGCAGCUUUUCAAGAUCAUAGACACACCAUUCCUGGUCCAUCCUGAAAAGAAGAACUUUCUUCCUGGGAUGCUCUUCCAAAAUCCAAAUAUUGACUUGACUUUGGGUAGUGUCUACAGGGAGUGCUAUGACAACAACGGCCUGUACCACGCUCUGCAGCUGGAAACCAUGUUCAACAUCAACUCCUUCCUCAAUAGAACUGUGUACAACAAGGAUCUGGCCAAACUGUUUGAAAGUGUGAAAGUGGACCUGAAAGACAUCACCCUGCUGGAGCAGGCAGGCAGAGACAACCUGAUGAACUUUGCCAACUCUGGAAUAGGACAGAUCGACUAUGCAGCUUUCCUUUCUGAGGUAAAUAAAGGAGUUACUCUUGUGGAUCUGUUGUCUUUCUGCGCUGAUCUGGAGGAUCAGGCUGACCAGUUGCCACGUGGCGCUCUGGAGAAUGCCCUGAAAGGUCACGCCAGCAGCAUCAGAACCAUUCACAGAGAACAGGUGGUGGCUUUGGAGCAAGCCAUGAAAUAUGUCAGAGCGCGGAGCACCCUGAGCCAGAGUAUCAAGCUGCUGCAGAAGACCUCAGAUGACCUACCAGUGAAAGUGACAAACAUCCUGAGCGCCAUUGAUGCAGCAGAGUAUCUCAUCGUUCAUAACGCUUCCUUUGUGGUUAAGCAGGAAACGAAAAACUUCAUGCAAGGCUUAGAGGGAUAUUUCAAACAGUACACAGGAUGGGUUAAAAGCUCUCUAACAUCAGAGGUGGCUCAGUGCAAGCCCAUCAGCAACAUGGUGGACAGUAUGGAGAUAGUUGGCUGCAGCUUCAUCGUGGACUCAGUGAACACCUUCUGGUUUGGUCUGGGAGGCUGCUGCAUCCUUCUCAUCCCCAGCAUCAUCUUCUCCAUUAAACUGGCCAAGUACUACAGAAGAAUGGACACUGAAGACGUGUUUGAAGAUUUGGAUAAUACAGGUAACCGUGGCCACGGGAACGCCGCUGGGGUCAGGUACGAGCCGUGUCCAUCUAAACCCAUUCACUUGCAUUCUGAGUUGUCCGUUCCCAGCGGGAAUUUUUUGCCUUCAAACAGACCGAAGGUUAAAGUUUCAUAUUUUUCCACAAAUUCCAAAGACUUGCCCCUGUGUGUGUACGUUUAGUUCUCCUUAUGACACUCUGACUUGGUUCUCUCGGGCCUCUGCACCUCCAAGCGAAUGGUAACUCACAGGAUCCGUCUGCCUUACAGAGUGGUCAGGAGAACUGGAACUGAUGGGAUCUCUCAGAAUCUGGACUUUUGUUGGAGGUUUUGUUCAUCAAGAACAGUAAGAUUCAGGAUCAGUGGUGAGGGCAUCUCUCCCCUCCAACACUUCCUGCAAGACCUCUGAUUUUUACCAGCUGCCAAGCUUUGAUGUUUUCUCUCAAUCACACCCCUUCCUGUAACGUUUCAUGCUGCACACAACCAAUUAACAAAGAUUGCUUCUGCAUAUUCAGAAAUGCACAUAGCGGAUGGAUUUCUAUGUACAUCAUUCCACAUCAAACAUUUUUUACACUUUCAAAACUUUUGAAAGUUUUAUAUAUUUUUACUAAUCAUUGUUUUAUAACAUGUCACUAGUGUUUUUUUUUUUAGAAAUAGUUUUUUUGGUGAAUAUUUGUAACAUAGUUCUCAUUAUUUUUGAUUUAUCAAAAGCACUUAUCAGGUAGAUGUUUAGAGGAUGGUUUAACAUUUUGGGGGGAAAAAAGACUCCCUUUCCGGUCAGAUGAUUAUAUUUUUAAAAAAGUAUGUUGUACGAACCAAAUACGUGGUGUAAAAUGAAUUCAAUGUAGUUUUUUUUUUAAAGAAAGGUGUCGUCCAAAAUGUUGAACCGUUCCUUUAAACACUAACGAGUUAACUGGCAGCUCGGUUUUGCUCUGUAAUCUUUAGUAGGAGCCCAAGAGUUUGUCCUGGUCUUUGUUUCUUCAAAGUGUCGCAUUUCAGUCAGCACAAACGUUUUUCUCUGCAGUUUUUGAGAUGGCUAACAAACUGACUGUUAGCAAGAGUGUUGUAGAUUUGAGGACAGACGUUUGAUGGACACCAAGAGCCUUGGAGCUUGUGGAGAGGGUGCAGAUCUGUAAUAAAAACUUCCGUCUGA